GUAUUUACCUGGAUGGAGUUAAUGAGCGAUCGUCAAAGCUCAAGGCCUAGGCUAGUGACCUUCAUUGCACUUUGGAGGUGUAUUAGGCUAAGGUCUACCAAAUAGGUGGAGCGACGUCAUAAUUUGUGGCAGCGUGGGCUUGCGUUCGCGUAGCUCCUAU
rnacentral:snRNA from 1 species